GCCGGGUUCCAUACAGAUGCAGGGCAAUUAGAUCCAUUUGAGCAAGGGUUACACAAUAUUACAAGAAUGGGUGGUACUUGUAUAAAUAGCCCUCAAAAACAUAGGGUUUGAAUCAUUCAAAAGAACAUGUGAGGAUAUAGUGCCGCUUUUGGAUUGAGUUUGAAAUGCAAAUAAGAUGAUGACAUAGUGAUGCUUUCAGAUUGAAUUGGGAGAAAGAAACUUGUGAUCCCAUGGAAGGAUAACUUUAACGAAAUCUAGCCUGUGUCUAUCAUAUGAAGAUAUUUCUCACUGUAACCAAGUGGAAAGAAUAUGAGCACUGAACCUUAUUUUUGGUGGAAAAAUCUCCAAUAGUUGAAGAGGCAGAAUACCAAACAGAU
rnacentral:misc_RNA from 1 species